rnacentral:rRNA from 1 species
GUCUAUGGCCAUACCACCCUGAACCCACCCAAUCUCAUCUAAUCUCAGAAGCUAAGCAGGAUCAGGCCUGGAUAGUACUUGGAUGGGAGAAGAGAGAAUGACAGGAUGUGAGGCCAGAGACC